rnacentral:rRNA from 2 species
GCAUAUCAAUAAGCGGAGGAAAAGAAACCAACAGGGAUUGCCCUAGUAACGGCGAGUGAAGCGGCAACAGCUCAAAUUUGAAAUCUGGCCCUUUAGGGUCCGAGUUGUAAUUUGCAGAGGAUGCUUUGGGUGCGGCGCCUUCGGAGUUCCCUGGAACGGGACGCCAGAGAGGGUGAGAGCCCCGUAUCGUCGGACGACCAAACCCGUGUAAAGCUCCUUCAACGAGUCGAGUAGUUUGGGAAUGCUGCUCAAAAUGGGAGGUAAAUUUCUUCUAAAGCUAAAUAUCGGCCAGAGACCGAUAGCGAACAAGUAGAGUGAUCGAAAGAUGAAAAGCACCUUGAAUAAGGGAGUUAAACAGCACGUGAAAUUGUUGAAAGGGAAGCGCCUGUGACCAGACUUGCGCCCGGCAAAUCACCCGUCGUUCUCGGCGGUGCACUUUGUCGGGCUCAGGCCAGCAUCGGUUUUCCUGGGGGGAUAAAGGUAGCGGGAACGUGGCUCCUCUGGGAGUGUUAUAGCCCGCUGCACAAUACCUUCGGGGGGACCGAGGACCGCGCUUCGGCAAGGAUGCUGGCGUAAUGGUCACCAGCGA